UAUUAAGAGACAGCAGCAGCCACGGGAAUACGUAGGUGGCAAGCGUUGUCCGGAAUUAUUGGGCGUAAAGGGCUCGCAGGCGGUUUCUUAAGUCUGAUGUGAAAGCCCCCGGCUCAACCGGGGAGGGUCAUUGGAAACUGGGAAACUUGAGUGCAGAAGAGGGGAGUGGAAUUCCACGUGUAGCGGUGAAAUGCGUAGAGAUGUGGAGGAACACCAGUGGCGAAGGCGACUCUCUGGUCUGUAACUGACGCUGAGGAGCGAAAGCGUGGGGAGCGAACAGGAUUAGAGACCCCAGUAGUCCCUGUCUCUUAUAC
rnacentral:rRNA from 1 species